CGGAAGAGAAGAAAGAAAAAGAAAGAGGAGAAGAGAGGGGGGAAUAAAAAAAAACAAACAAACAACAACAACAAAAGUCAGAAGAGAGUAAAGCACCCGGACAGACACAAACAGAGCAAAACAAAACAAGAACAGCCACAACAGAGAGAGAAAUGCUAAAAAUGAAAUCAACUGGGACCGGGAGCAGAGGCUGGAGGGGCUGAAGAAGGAGUGGGGGUGCGAGAAGAGUGGCCGCCAUCAUCAUCAGCAACAGAGGAGAGCAAAUCGGACAGGCCCCUCUUAAGAGAGGAUUUAUAUAUAGGUAAGUGUUGGAGAUUUAAACCUAC